UCGAGCGGUAGGCCCCUUCGGGGGUACACGAGCGGCGGACGGCUGAGUAACACGUAGGAACGUACCCCAAACUGAGGGAUAAGCACCAGAAAUGGUGUCUAAUACCGCAUGUGGUCUUCGGAUUAAAGCUUCGGCGGUUUGGGAACGGCCUGCGCAUGAUUAGCUUGUUGGUGAGGUAAUAGCUCACCAAGGCGACGAUCAUUAGCUGGUCUGAGAGGAUGAUCAGCCAGACUGGAACUGAGAACGGUCCAGACUCCUACGGGAGGCAGCAGUAGGGAAUUUUCCACAAUGGGCGAAAGCCUGAUGGAGCAACGCCGCGUGCAGGACGAAGGCCUUCGGGUCGUAAACUGCUUUUAUAUGUGACGAUUAUGACGGUAGCAUAUGAAUAAGGAUCGGCUAACUCCGUGCCAGCAGCCGCGGUCAUACGGAGGAUCCAAGCGUUAUCCGGAAUUACUGGGCGUAAAGAGUUGCGUAGGUGGCAGUGUAAGUUGGUAGUGAAAGCGUUCGGCUCAACCGAAUAUCCAUUACCAAAACUACACAGCUAGAGGAUGAGAGAGGUUAUUGGAAUUCCUAGUGUAGGAGUGAAAUCCGUAGAUAUUAGGAGGAACACCGAUGGCGUAGGCAGAUAACUGGCUCAUUCCUGACACUAAGGCACGAAAGCGUGGGGAGCGAACUGGAUUAGAUACCCAGGUAGUCCACGCUGUAAACGAUGGAUGCUAGCUCUUAUAGGUAUCGACCCCUGUAGUAGCGAAGCUAACGCGUUAAGCAUCCCGCCUGUGGAGUACGGUCGCAAGACUAAAACAUAAAGGAAUUGACGGGGAC
rnacentral:rRNA from 1 species